AUUUUGCGUGUGUGUUGAUGGAAUGCGAUUCCGGCGGAUUGGGUGGCGAAACUGUGUGUGUGUUUGUUUAUGGAAAGGGAAAAAUCUAUUAGCCCCCGCUAGGGGGACUCUCUCUUGCGCCUACCAGCAGCCGCCAGCCGGCCGUGUUGUUGACAAGUGAUAGUUCGUCGUCAUGUCUUUUCAUUGGAAUUUUCAUGUCUUCUCAGCACACUUGUAAGUUUUGGCAUGUUAAAGUAUUUUGUGUAAUUGUUAACCAUGCUCAAAGUUGCCACUACUCGUGUAUCAUCCAAGCUAUCAUGUGUGUUGAUGGAAAGCGAUCUAUUUGCAAUUAGACUGACUGAAAGCUAUCAGAUUGUCCUUUCGAGAAAAAUAAAAGGCCAACACCAUGGUCAAAAAAGGGUUUUUGUUGACCCCUUGGUUGCUACACAUUCAAUCCUCAUAUCCUUGGAAUGGACCCACUCUUAUUUAGAGGUUAAUCCCUCGCCCCUACUCAAUAGACGGAAUUAAUUGGCCGUGCAUCACCAACUUAUAUCGGAUGGGCGCUCCGUAUUGAAAACUAUUGCUAAAUUUCAUAAAGCUUUACAUAAUUUUGCUUGGACAAUCAUGUGUAAGUGGUGUAUAAAAUGAAAUGCGUGUUGAAUACAAAUUUUAAAUCGCG